CCCUUAGAUGUUCUGGGCAGCACGCGCGCUACAAUGGUCUUCGCAAACGGAUGCAUUCUCGAAGGAGAAUGCCAAUCUUGGAAUCUAUGCCUUGGUCGGGACAGUUGCUUGCAAUUUUUCGACUCGAACCAUGAAUUCCUUGUAAUCGUGAUUCAUCACAUCACGAUGAAUACGUCCCUGCCCUUUGUACACACCGCCCGUCGCUCCUACCGAUCGAAGAGUUAGGUGAAUUGUUUUGAUCGAUAAGAUUUGACUAUGGUCAACUCUCGUUGUGAAAUUCUGUGAAUCUGACUGUUUAGAGGAAGGAAAAGUCGUAACA
rnacentral:rRNA from 1 species